UACGGAGGGUGCAAACGUUGCUCGGAAUUACUGGGCGUAAAGCGCACGUAGGCGGCGCGGUAAGUCGGGUGUGAAAUCUCGGAGCUUAACUCCGAAACUGCAUUCGAUACUGCCGUGCUUGAGGACUGGAGAGGAGACUGGAAUUUACGGUGUAGCGGUGAAAUGCGUAGAUAUCGUAAGGAAGACCAGUGGCGAAGGCGGGUCUCUGGACAGUUCCUGACGCUGAGGCACGAAGGCCAGGGGAGCAAACGGG
rnacentral:rRNA from 1 species